rnacentral:tRNA from 1 species
GCGGGUGUAGUUCAAUGGUAGAACACCAGCCUUCCAAGCUGGAUACGUGGGUUCGAUCCCCAUCACCCGCUCCA